GGUUCGGUGGUGUAGUUGGUUAUCACACCAGUCUAACAAGCAACUUGUUCCACUGGUGGUCCCCGGUUCGAGCCCGGGCCGAAUCA
rnacentral:tRNA from 1 species